rnacentral:rRNA from 1 species
GACGAACGCUGGCGGCGUGCUUAACACAUGCAAGUCGAACGGAAAGGCCCUGCUUUUGUGGGGUGCUCGAGUGGCGAACGGGUGAGUAACACGUGAGUAACCUGCCCUUGACUUUGGGAUAACUUCAGGAACUGGGGCUAAUACCGGAUAGGAGCUCCUGCUGCAUGGUGGGGGUUGGAAAGUUUCGGCGGUUGGGGAUGGACUCGCGGCUUAUCAGCUUGUUGGUGGGGUAGUGGCUUACCAAGGCUUUGACGGGUAGCCGGCCUGAGAGGGUGACCGGCCACAUUGGGACUGAGAUACGGCCCAGACUCCUACGGGAGGCAGCAGUGGGGAAUAUUGCACAAUGGGCGGAAGCCUGAUGCAGCAACGCCGCGUGCGGGAUGACGGCCUUCGGGUUGUAAACCGCUUUCGCCUGUGACGAAGCGUGAGUGACGGUAAUGGGUAAAGAAGCACCGGCUAACUACGUG